rnacentral:sRNA from 1 species
CUGUCUAUUUUUUAUACAAACAUUCCCGGUUCGCUGUUACGCGCCCGGUAUUGUGAAAAAAACAUGCUGCGCUUGCGUCGUCUGCAUUUACUUACUAAAACUUAUGGGUAGUAUGUACGCCGGCUGAUUUCCUAUCGUUUGGGAA